rnacentral:rRNA from 1 species
GGGGAAUCUUCCGCAAUGGGCGAAAGCCUGACGGAGCGACGCCGCGUGGAGGACGAAGGCCUUCGGGUUGUAAACUCCUGUCACGAGUUAAGAAGGUCGGCCUACGAAUAGUGGGACGAUUUGACGUAAGCUCGAGAGGAAGCACUGCUAACUCUGUGCCAGCAGCCGCGGUAAUACAGAGAGUGCAAACGUUGUUCGGAAUUACUGGGCUUAAAGCGCACGUAGGCUGCGUCGUAAGUGUCAGGUGAAAUCCCACGGCUCACCCGUGGAACUGCCUGGCAGACUGCGAUGCUAGAGUGUGGUAGGGGAGAGCGGAACUCUUGGUGGAGCGGUGAAAUGCGUAGAUAUCAAGAGGAACACCGGUGGCGAAGGCGGCUCUCUGGUCCACAACUGACGCUGAGGUGCGAAAGCUAGGGGAGCAAAUGGGAUUAGAUACCCCUGUAGUC